rnacentral:lncRNA from 1 species
AGAUGGAUCAGUUUAUGCAGCAGCUCCAGAGCCUGGAGGCCCUGAUUUCCAAGGCUCAGGGUGGCGGUGGCGCUGCAGUACCUGGCUCAGAACUGGAAGGCGGGAUGCAGCAGGCGGAGCAGGCCUUACGGGAUAUUCUGAGAGAAGCGCAGAUCUCAGAAGGUGUUAGUAGGACCCUUAGUCGCCAGCUGGACAAGGUGAGGAGCCAAGGGAACAGCUACCGCAAUCGCCUGGAUGACCUCAAGACCACAGCAGAAAGGAUUCGGGCCCUGAGCAGUCAGUAUCAGAACCGAGUCCAGGAUACCCGCAGGCUCGUCACCCAGAUGCGCCUGAGCCUGGCGGAAAGCGAAACUUCCCUGAAAAACAGCGUAGGUUUGGCUGGGUUGGGGUACUCAGAACCACUGCUCAGGGG